ACCUCAGUCUUCUGGAGGCAGAAUGCGGUCCCUUCCCCUCAGGCUGUCUGAGGGCCCGCAGCUCCAGCAGGAAGCUAGGCGCUGGUCUAGGGCCUGCCUUACCCAGCGGUGACUGGUGUCCUCCCAUCUGACUUGAUGGGGAGACGCCCCGGAGAGCACACAGGGAUGGUCACCGAGGGAAGAGGGAGGAGCCCAGGGCGGGGUGGGUGGGGCUCUAAUAUGUCGCUCCUUAUCAAAAUCUCUUGAAGCCAGGGAACGUCCAAGGAUGGAAGGCAACCCUGGGGAUCGUGAAGCCUAGUGGUUCUCAAACUUACUGCACCAGAAUGAUAGAGACUGUGUGUGAAGAGCUCAGUGUGAAGUUUGGGCCCCGGGUGUUAUGUGCUGGGAGCUGUCCCGUGGGGGAAGGUGACCCGGUGACCUGUUCGUCCGUCAUGCGUUGCUUCCUCAGGGAAGACUGGGCUGCGGCCAGGGAUCUAAUCAUGCGAGUCCUGGACACGGAGGGAGUGACUUUGUGUAACAGGCUCUCUCUGGUGGGCUCAGGACACCCCGUUCUCGGAGCCCCAGCUCCGGCAGAGAGGCUCCGUGUUUAUCCGGCCCUCACCUUUGAAAACUGCCAACACAAACGGGCGGACGGCUUGUUACCUGGGACACUUGAUUAAGUAAAACCAGAGCUCUGUGCCCAGGGGAGCAGCUGGAGGACGGAAGGCUGUGGAGGGAAGGGUUAUGUAAAUACUGGUUGAAUAAUUGGGUUUGUGUGUUGAUUAGAUAAGGGCGGAGAAACCGAAGCCCCUGGUGAAUAGCAAUGAAGCUUCUAGGCUAGUAAUGGCCUGAUUUGAAAGUCUGAGGCAGGACCGCCUGGCACCACGGGGUGGAGGGGGUGGAGGGCGGAUUUCCCUGAUGGGUCUGUGGCGGCUGAGAUAAUGCCUGGUGACAAGGGGACAGAAGUUAAUGCCUGGUGACAAGGGGACAGAAGUACAGGACCUCAGAGUCUGCAUGCCCCUUCACAAGCCAGUCCCCAGGCCUAUCUGCCCGACGUCCUGUCCUCAGGGGAAUUAUGAGGACAAUCAGACAGAUGGGAGCGCUGCCCCUGGGAGGUUAAAAUCCUAUUGAGGCUGAAGUCAAAUUUUGCAGGUUAACCAAAUCCUAUGUAAAUAUUUGUAAGCAUCACAAAUGUCAUGAGCAGCCAUUUGUCGGCUGGGGAGUCAGCCCUGGGGACGAAGAAACAGCCGGGGAACAGCAUGCACUGCCUGUGAGCUGGGUUCUUUGUACUAGCUGUCUAUGGGGCUCUGGGACAUAGAUGGCCUCAUCUUCACUUCAUUGGAGGGGAAACUGAGGCCCAGGAAGCUUGAGUAAACUCGCAAGUGUCCACCCUAAGAAGAGGAGGAGCCAGGAUUCGACUCCAUGUCUGCCUCAAGGCACCGCCCAUGAGACAGGAGCCUGGGCGGGAAGGACAAAAGGGACCCUGUGGAGCAGAUUCUGACUCAUGCGUUGGCUGUGAGCUUGAGGAAGUCAUGACAUUCUCUAUAGAAGGGAACUGGAGCGAUCCCUCAACUCAGCGCAGAUAACAUUCUGAUAACAGGAGCUUCAAGAUCACUGGAAACAAAGCACUGCUGUUCGCUUGUGCGGUCUGGCCCUUGCAGGCCGUCUUGUUCUGCUUUCAGACAGAUGAGGUUCCCUGCAGCCGAGCCCUGCCUGACUCCUGAGAGAACCCCGGUCCGAAGGCAGCUGUGAGGGGCCUGGCCCGCAUUCAGGGGCGACUUCGUGUUGUGAUCCCGGCCACCAUGUCACAGGGACUGAUGUGGCUGGCUGGGUCCUUGACCUUCUGCUGCAUGCCUCACUUCUCUUCCCCUCUGGAACCCGGUUGCUCACGUCCAACCCGGAAGGGGCGGUGGCUGAGAUGCAAAGGGAGGAAAACCUGAGAGGGGACACGGUACCUCUGGGCUCUGUGCAUGGGUAAGGAGUUUCUCCAGACGCGGCCUUUCUCUGCUUCUGCUGCCCUGAUCCCUCUCCUGCCCAGGGCUAAGGCAUUGUCACUGUCUCUGGCGUAUUUUUAGCUAUCCUGUUCCUUGAAAGCCUCUCCGAUUUCUCUGACGUUGAUUUUCCAGAACAAUCCAAGGGUGGGUCGAUGCUUUUAUGUUUCUAAUUUUCCAUGCUUUGUUUACUACAAGAGCAAACGUACAUGUUACAAAAGCUGUUUGUACGUUUGGAUAAUUCACUUCUCCUAGUGGUUAAGGCGGAGGGCGGAGAGGGCACGAGGUGGAGAAAGAGGGAGGAGGCUUUAGAGUCAGACCCAGCAGCUUUGAAUCCGGGCUCACCACUCAUUAGCUGUGUGGCCUUGGAGAAGCAACUAAACCUCUCCGAGCUUCAGUUUCCUCCUCUGGAGAUUGGUAAUAGGAAGAGUCUCCAGCUCACCGCGUUGUUAGAAAUUGAAAUAAGAUAAUGAAUCCAGGGGCGCCUGGGUGGCUCAGUCGGUUGAGCGUCCGACUUCGGCUCGGGUCAUGAUCUCGAGGUCCGUGAGUUCGAGCCCCGCGUCGGGCUCUGUGCUGACUGCUCAGAGCCUGGACCCUGUUUCAGACUCUGUGUCUCCCUCUCUCUGACCCUCCCCCGUUCAUGCUCUGUCUCUCUCUGUCUCAAAAAUAAAUAAACAUAAAAAAAAGAUAAUGAAUCUAUAACGAUUUGGUUGGUUCAUGGUACUUAUUAAGGGCUCUUCUUUAUAAAACUCUUAUUGUAGUUUGCCUCAGUGUUUUUGUCUGUAAAAGGGACAAAUAGUAAAACACCAUGAACAAAAUAAUACAGAACUGGCUCUAGGGCAAAGAAGUUUGUAUGAAGCAAACCCAGUGGGCCUUGUCCCUUAAGGCUUACUGGCCUGACAGAGGGUAAGAGGAGAUCUGAGUGGUUUAGGGGAGCUGCUGAGGAAGGUAAGAGCCAGGCUCAUUUAAAGGGAUGUGGGGAGGACGAGCCUCUGUCUCUUUCCUUGCCUUGUACUGGGAUUGAUGUCCUCUCACCAUGCACAGACCUCCACAAAAGGGCCAGCAACAAGCAGGUCUAAGACUCUCAGGGUAGGUUUUCUUUCUGUUGAACAUUUACAUAUGGAGUCUUCCUUGGGAUGGAGGAAUUCUGGGCCAUGAAGAGGGGCUCAUCAUCAGGCUAGAAGCAAUCGCAUAGGGUCGAAGUUGGGUAUAAUAAGUUCUCCUUGGGUCAUCAGAAGAAAGGAGAAUCCGCUUUGCCUAAAUGAUUACGUAGCCCCCGAAACACUAAAGGUUGGGGGAUCCCUCAAAGUUUUGUACACCAGGCCUCCGAGAACAAAACUAUGGAGAGGUACAAAAGGGGGGAGGAACUACAUGUUUGUCCCUCAAAAUCUCUUCCACAAAUGUUUCCUCGACUUCUGGACCUACAAUCACUUCAAAUCUGGUCUCUAGCAUGAGGUAUUUUGGAAUUCGUCUGAAUAAAUUUAAUUCAUCUCUUCUGUCAACAGUCUUCAACUCAACUUACCCACAACAUGAAGUUCGUGCGGAAUGGAAGGUUCAAGAAGUCUCUUUUCCAGGAGACUUUGCAGUCUUUCUUAAUCACCAAAAGUUUGCCUUAGGGUUCAUCGAGAAGAUCCAACCAACAUUUUCAGAUGGGUGUAGGCAUGAGACUCGGAUCUCUCCCACAUGGCUUUGAAGACCCCAGCAACAGUCAGCUUCCACAGUGUGUGGGGCUCAGGGCUUGGGUCGGAGGGCUGGCCCCAGGCUCCUGUGGGGAUACCCCGCUCCCCCACCUUUCCCCCAGGGACCCCUUUGUGGCUCCCAACAUGCUGUCCCGCAGAAAGCUAGUGCUGGCCGCAUCUGUUCCUUGGGCUGGUCAAUCCCCAUGUUAAGAAUGGGUGGCUCAGUCGGUUAAGCGUCCGACCUCGGCUCGGGUCACGAUCUCACGGUUCGUGAGUCCGAGCCCCGCGUCGGGCUCUGUGCUGACGGGCUCGGAGCCUGGAGCCCACUUCGGAUUCUGGGUCUCCUUCUCUCUCUGCCCCUCCCCACUCUCACUCCGUCUCUGUCUCCCUCCAAAUAAACAUUAAAACAACUUUUAAUUAAAAAAAAAA